rnacentral:lncRNA from 1 species
CAUUCUAGUGUAUUGCUGAGAUCAUCCAGGUGAUAAAACCUCUCUUUUUUCUCUUUUUUUCUCCUAAAUGAGGCUUUUCCCUCAAACCACAUCCAUUCCCAGCAGAACUGGGGGAUUCUCAGACAUCCUUGUAACGAGUUCACAUGGCUGCAGGAUUAGAAUUUGCAGUCAUUGGAGCUGGAUUCAGCCACGGUGGGAAAAACAAGAAGUGGACACCUGCAGUGCCAGUGCUGAGGUGUGAUCACAGCCCUGCAGCAUCCCAGAAAAGCAAAGGACUGUAUGAGUUUUCAGGACACAGAUUUGCUGCAGACCAGGAAUUUGCCCUUUCUGGAUCCAUGCAUCCUGCUCACACCACUGCUAGAGAGUGAUUGAUACGAGCUCAGCCCAGCAGCCCUGGGUUUGACAAAGGUUUCAUUUGGAGGGUAACAUCCCACAUUAAUCAAACCCAAGGAUGACAUGGCCCUUCUGAAGAGGGCAUUGAAUGUUUACAUGAACUCUGCUGUCCAGCUGUAAGCUCAGCUCUCCCCUCUGCAGCCUGGAAGGUGUGAUCCCACAGGGUCACACCCCAACCCCACCAUCACCUGAGCUGAUAGAUAAGGAAUGGGCUCUGCCUGUGGGUUUGAACAUCUUGGAAAUGAGGGGGUUUGUCAGCAUGUUCUGGUCUGCUUUUUCAGUGAAGGAAAUUUGUCCCCAGGUUCUCUUUCUCCCGUGUAGCCAAAGUCUCAUUACAGGCAGUUUGGUUUCUGGCCACUUUCAAAAAUAAUUUAUGAGACUGUUCCCUACAGCCUUUAAAUAAAAAUUUG